rnacentral:rRNA from 1 species
GACGAACGCUGGCGGCGUGCUUAACACAUGCCAGUCGAACGCUGAAGCUCAGCUUUUGUUGGGUGGAUGAGUGGCGAACGGGUGAGUAACACGUGAGUAACCUGCCUCCUUCUUUGGGAUAACGCCCGGAAGCGGGUGCUAAUACUGGAUAUUCACUGGUCUUCGCAUGGGGGUUGGUGGAAAGGGUUUUUCUGGUGGGGGAUGGGCUCGCGGCCUAUCAGCUUGUUGGUGGGGUGAUGGCCUACCAAGGCUUUGACGGGUAGCCGGCCUGAGAGGGUGACCGGCCACAUUGGGACUGAGAUACGGCCCAGACUCCUACGGGAGGCAGCAGUGGGGAAUAUUGCACAAUGGGCGCAAGCCUGAUGCAGCGACGCCGCGUGAGGGAUGGAGGCCUUCGGGUUGUGAACCUCUUUCGCUCAUGGUCAAGCCGCAACAAUGGUUGUGGUGAGGGUAGUGGGUAAAGAAGCGCCGGCUAACUACGUG